AGAGUUUUGAUCCUGGCUCAGGAUGAACGCUAGCGGCAGGCUUAACACAUGCAAGUCGAGGGGCAUCGGAGGGAAGCUUGCUUUCCUGCCGGCGACCGGCGCACGGGUGAGUAACACGUAUGCAACCUGCCCUCGUUCAGGGGGACAACCUUCCGAAAGGGAGGCUAAUCCCGCGUAUAUCGGUUUCGGGCAUCCGAGAUCGAGGAAAGAUUCAUCGGAAGAGGAUGGGCAUGCGGCGCAUUAGCUUGACGGCGGGGUAACGGCCCACCGUGGCGACGAUGCGUAGGGGUUCUGAGAGGAAGGUCCCCCACACUGGUACUGAGACACGGGACCAGACUCCUACGGGAGGCAGCAGUGAGGAAUAUUGGUCAAUGGGAGAGAUCCUGAACCAGCCAAGCCGCGUGAGGGAAGACGGCCCUAUGGGUUGUAAACCUCUUUUGUCGGAGAACAAAACCCGGGACGUGUCCCGGACUGCGUGUAUCCGAAGAAAAAGCAUCGGCUAACUCCGUG
rnacentral:rRNA from 1 species